GCCGAAUUAGCACAACCAGGCAGUGCGGCCGUCCCGUACGCGGCUGAUGAAGGUUCGAAUCCGUCAUUCGGCUCCA
rnacentral:tRNA from 1 species